rnacentral:misc_RNA from 1 species
AAAGUCGUAACAAGGUUUCCGUAGGUGAACCUGCGGAAGGAUCAUUACCGAAGUACAGGCCCCUUCGGGGGCUAAACUUCCACCCUUUGUUUACCAUACCAUUGUUGCUUUGGCGGGCCCGCCUCACGGCCACCGGCUUCGGCUGGUCCGCGCCCGCCAGAGAACCCCAAACCCAAACCCAUUAUUAGUGUUGUCUGAAUAACAAGUUUAAUAUUUAAAACUUUCAACAACGGAUCUCUUGGCUCUG